UAGCCAAAAAACGAAUUUUGUUUCCAGUCUUACUGAAGAAGAUCGACUUACUUCAAGUUACCGACGAAUGAAUAUCAGCUUUCUCGUUGUUUUUGACGACCGAUGCAUAUUUUUACCGACAAACAUCGUUACGAGACAGGGGUUUUGAUGAUUAAUUUAUCACAGAUUACACGGCCGAAGGAAACGCAGUACCGAUCCAUGUGUUACAAUCAGACUGAGUCUUCAUGCAGUACAUUCUGGAAUGAGGAACACUGCAUGCAUUAAUUGUGGUCCAAAUUGAUGGCAUUGACUUAACACAAAGCAGAAAGGAAUGAAGAGAAAUGAAGAAGUUUAUGUUUCACAUUAAUUAAGAUUAUUCGAGAUAUGUUAUCUGUCGAGUUUACGGACACACAUGAAAACAGUUUCCAGUACAUCUGGGCUACUUCGAGGAAACUACGUAUACUGUCUGAAAUCAGUCUUGUGCGUCGGUGACAAAAUGUAUACAUAUCCUACUAUAACUCUGCUGGAAAAUAUUAUUUUGUACUAUUUUCCUACUAUUUUAGAAAAAAAA